GCCAACCCUAUAUGAGAGUGUAGCAGUCGCAUCUCCACACACACACUCCAUUCUUCACAGUCCUGUGUGCAUUAGCAAGAACAAACGUAUCCAAGAAUAUGGACUUUGUGAAGGGAGCUGUCGACGGACAGGUUGACCAGGUCAUUGAUAAAGCAGCUCAAGUUGCAAAGGAGAAAGUUGGUGAUCUGAUGGGUGGAGGAGCGAAAGAGGAGAAAAAAAAAGGUGUCGGAGACAUGGUGGGGGAUGUGGCUGGGAAGCUCGCUGGUGGUGCCGCCGCAGACAGUGCUGCUGGCCAGGCUCUAAAUAUUGGCAAAAAAACUAUUUGGAUGAUUUUUUUCUGCAAUGCUAUUGUUUGUGUAAUAUUGUUUGAUAUGCAAAUAUUGCUUUUUGAUAGAUCUGAUACAAAUUUCCAAAUUCUUUUGUCAUAAAGUCAGCAGCCAUUGCUAGUAGUUGCAAUAGUUUUAGUAUAAGUAAUAAAGAGUUUGUCAAAAUGUCUGUACUAGUAAGUUUCUCCAGAGCUUUGUGUUUACAUGACCAGAGCAGCACUGAUGACUACAAGUUGUUUAGAUGCUAUUUAAGAUUUUGAAAUAAAGCAUGCUGUUCAAUUACA